AUUGAACGCUGGCGGCAUGCCUUACACAUGCAAGUCGAACGGCAGCACGGGAGCAAUCCUGGUGGCGAGUGGCGAACGGGUGAGUAAUAUAUCGGAACGUGCCCAGUCGUGGGGAUAACGUAGCGAAAGCUACGCUAAUACCGCAUACGAUCUAUGGAUGAAAGCGGGGGAUCGCAAGACCUCGCGCGAUUGGAGCGGCCGAUAUCAGAUUAGGUAGUUGGUGAGGUAAAGGCUCACCAAGCCGACGAUCUGUAGCUGGUCUGAGAGGACGACCAGCCACACGUCGGGACUGACGACGACGGCCAGACCUCCGUACGGGAGGCAGC
rnacentral:rRNA from 1 species